rnacentral:rRNA from 1 species
GCAAGUCGAACGAGCCUUCGGGCUAGUGGCGGACGGGUGGGUAACGCGUGGGAAUCUGCCCUCCGGCGUGGGAUAGCGGCCGGAAACGGCCGCUAAUACCCCAUAUGCCGAUAGGUGAAACGAAAUUCGCCUGGGGAUGAGCCCGCGUCUGAUUAGCUAGUUGGUGUGGUAAUGGCGCACCAAGGCAUCGAUCAGUAGCUGGUCUGAGAGGAUGAUC